UACGUAGGGUGCGAGCGUUGUCCGGAAUUAUCGGGCGUAAAGGGCUCGUAGGCGGUUUGUCGCGUCGGGAGUGAAAUCCACUGGCUUAACUGGUGGCUUGCUUUCGAUACGGGCAGACUGGAGGUAUGCAGGGGAGAACGGAAUUCCUGGUGUAGCGGUGAAAUGCGCAGAUAUCAGGAGGAACACCAGUAGCGAAGGCGGUGGUCUGGGCCGGCACUGACGCUGAGGAGCGAAAGCGUGGGGAGCGAACAGG
rnacentral:rRNA from 1 species